rnacentral:rRNA from 1 species
UACGUAGGGGGCUAGCGUUGUCCGGAUUUAUUGGGCGUAAAGAGCGUGUAGGCGGUCAGGUAGGUCCGUUGUGAAAACUCGAGGCUCAACCUCGAGACGCCGAUGGAAACCAUCUGACUAGAGUCCGGAAGAGGAGAGUGGAAUUCCUGGUGUAGCGGUGAAAUGCGCAGAUAUCAGGAAGAACACCCGUGGCUAAGGCGGCUCUCUAGUACGGUACUGACGCUGAGACGCGAAAGCGUGGGAGCGAACAGG